rnacentral:tRNA from 1 species
GUGCCCAUAGCUUAGCGGCCCAAAGCGUCGGGAUGUGGCCCCGAAGACCGCCAGUUCAAAUCUGGUUGGGCACC